rnacentral:rRNA from 1 species
AUGCCUACCGUUGAUCUCAGCUCUCUAUACACGCCUCUAGAUCUCUCUGGACUGAUCGAGCCUUUCUCAUGGGCUGAGAUUGUUGAAGCUAUAAACAAGGCUCCAAACAACAGAAGCCCGGGCCCAUACGGUUUUACCAAUGAAUUCUAUAAAGCCUUCAAGACUCUAUUAAAGGAUGAUCUGCUCAGAUUCUUCAGUGAUCUACAUAGCAACAGUGUUAAUCUCGACGGCAUCAACACUGCCUUCAUCACCUUACUACCCAAAAAGGACACCCCUUUGGAGAUGAAGGAUUAUAGGCCCAUUUCCUUGGUUCACAGCACACCCAAACUUGCUUCCAAGGUCAUGACCAAUAGAUUGCAACAAUAG